AUGGGGUGCAGCAGGCGCGAAACCUUUACACUGCACGACAGUGCGAUAGGGGGACACCGAGUGCGAGGGCAUAGAGCCCUCGCUUUUCUGAACCGUAAGGAGGUUCAGGAACAAGGGCUGGGCAAGACCGGUGCCAGCCGCCGCGGUAACACCGGCAGCCCAAGUGAUGGCCGAUAUUAUUGGGCCUAAAGCGUCCGUAGCUGGCCGAGCAAGUUCGUCGGGAAAUCCACUCGCUUAACGAGUGGGCGUCCGGCGAAAACUGUUCGGCUUGGGACCGGAAGAUCCGAGGGGUACGUCUGGGGUAGGAGUGAAAUCCCGUAAUCCUGGACGGACCACCGAUGGCGAAGGCACCUCGGAAGGACGGAUCCGACAGUGAGGGACGAAAGCUAGGGUCUCGAACCGGAUUAGAUACCCGGGUAGUCCUAGCUGUAAACGAUGCUCGCUAGGUGUGGCGCAGGCUACGAGCCUGCGCUGUGCCGUAGGGAAGCCGUGAAGCGAGCCGCCUGGGAAGUACGUCUGCAAGGAUGAAACUUAAAGGAAUUGGCGGGGGAGCAC
rnacentral:rRNA from 1 species